GACGAACGCUGGCGGCGUGCUUAACACAUGCAAGUCGAACGGCAAGGCCCUUCGGGGUACACGAGUGGCGAACGGGUGAGUAACACGUGGGUGAUCUGCCCUGCACUUCGGGAUAAGCCUGGGAAACUGGGUCUAAUACCGGAUAGGACCCUGGGAUGCAUGUCCUGGGGUGGAAAGCUUUUGCGGUGUGGGAUGGGCCCGCGGCCUAUCAGCUUGUUGGUGGGGUGAUGGCCUACCAAGGCGGCGACGGGUAGCCGGCCUGAGAGGGUGACCGGCCACACUGGGACUGAGAUACGGCCCAGACUCCUACGGGAGGCAGCAGUGGGGAAUAUUGCUCAAUGGGCGCAAGCCUGAUGCAGCGACGCCGCGUGAGGGAUGACGGCCUUCGGGUUGUAAACCUCUUUCAGCACCGACGAAGCGCAAGUGACGGUAGGUGCAGAAGAAGGACCGGCCAACUACGUGCCAGCAGCCGCAGUAA
rnacentral:rRNA from 1 species